CUUGGUGGCUAUAGUGGAGGUGAUAUACCCGUUCCCAUUCCGAACACGGAAGUCAAGCCCUCUCACGCCGAUGAUACUGCCCCUUGAGGGGUGGGAAAGUAGGAAGCUGCCAGGC
rnacentral:rRNA from 1 species